rnacentral:rRNA from 1 species
GACAGAGGGUGCAAACGUUGUUCGGAAUUACUGGGCGUAAAGCGCGCGUAGGCGGCUUUGUAAGUUAGAGGUGAAAGCCCGGGGCUCAACCCCGGAACUGCCUUUAAAACUGCAUCGCUUGAAUCCGGGAGAGGUGAGUGGAAUUCCGAGUGUAGAGGUGAAAUUCGUAGAUAUUCGGAAGAACACCAGUGGCGAAGGCGGCUCACUGGACCGGCAUUGACGCUGAGGUGCGAAAGCGUGGGGAGCAAACAGG